CGGACGGGUGAGUAAUGUCUGGGAAACUGCCUGAUGGAGGGGGAUAACUACUGGAAACGGUAGCUAAUACCGCAUAAUGUCUACGGACCAAAGCGGGGGACCUCCGGGCCUCGCGCCAUCAGAUGAACCCAUAUGGGAUUAGCUUGUAGGUAAGGUAACGGCUUACCUAGGCGACGAUCCCUAGCUGGUCUGAGAGGAUGAUCAGCCACACUGGGACUGAGACACGGUCCAG
rnacentral:rRNA from 1 species